rnacentral:rRNA from 1 species
GCUGGCGACCGGCGCACGGGUGAGUAACACGUAUCCAACCUGCCGAUAACUCGGGGAUAGCCUUUCGAAAGAAAGAUUAAUACCCGAUGGCAUAAUUAGACCGCAUGGUCUUAUUAUUAAAGAAUUUCGGUUAUCGAUGGGGAUGCGUUCCAUUAGGCAGUUGGUGAGGUAACGGCUCACCAAACCUUCGAUGGAUAGGGGUUCUGAGAGGAAGGUCCCCCACAUUGGAACUGAGACACGGUCCAA